UACGUAGGGUGCAAGCGUUGUCCGGAAUUAUUGGGCGUAAAGAGCUCGUAGGCGGCUUGUCGCGUCGUCCGUGAAAACUUGGGGCUCAACCCCAAGCUUGCGGUCGAUACGGGCAGGCUAGAGUUCGGAAGGGGAGACUGGAAUUCCUGGUGUAGCGGUGAAAUGCGCAGAUAUCAGGAGGAACACCGGUGGCGAAGGCGGGUCUCUGGGCCGAUACUGACGCUGAGGAGCGAAAGCGUGGGGAGCGAACAGG
rnacentral:rRNA from 1 species